rnacentral:misc_RNA from 1 species
GAUGAAGAACGUAGCGAAAUGCGAUAAGUAAUGUGAAUUGCAGAAUUCAGUGAAUCAUCGAAUCUUUGAACGCAUCUUGCGCUCCCUGGUAUUCCGAGGAGCAUGCCUGUUUGAGUGUCAUCUAAAUCCUCAAACCACAUUGAUUCUUUCGGUGUGGCUUUGGAAGUGGGGGUAGUGUUUGCAGGUUUUAUCUUAAGUCUGCUCCCCUGAAAUGCAUUAGUGGUAUCUGAGCAGAAGGAACUACUACAGGUGUGAUAAUUAUCUAUGCCUUUUGGUAUACUGCAUGAACAGAUUGUGCUGCUUCAAACUGUACACCCUUUGGUGUUUGACAAAUUUGACCUCAAAUCAGGUAGGACUACCCGCUGAACUUAAGCAUAUCAAUAAGCGGAGGA